UACAGGGGGUGCAAGCGUUGCUCGGAAUCACUGGGCGUAAAGCGUGCGCAGGCGGAACGAUAAGUCGGGUGUGAAAUCCUGGGGCUCAACCCCGGACUGCAUUCGAAACUGUCGAUCUUGAGUGCGGCAGAGGUGAGUGGAAUUCCUGGUGUAGAGGUGAAAUUCGUAGAUAUCAGGAGGAACACCGGUGGCGAAAGCGGCUCACUGGGCCGACACUGACGCUCAUGCACGAAAGCGUGGGGAGCAAACAGGAUUAGAAACCCCUGUAGU
rnacentral:rRNA from 1 species